AACGAACGCUGGCGGCAGGCCUAACACAUGCAAGUCGAGCGAGGACUUCGGUUCUAUCGGCGUACGGGUUAGUAACGCGUGGGAAUGUGCCCUUCUCUACGGAAUAGCUCUGGGAAACUGGGAGUAAUAGCGUAUACGCCCUAUUGCGGGAAGAUUUAUCGAAGAAGGAUCAUCCCGAGUUGGAGUAGGUAGUUGUUGGGGUAAUGGCCUACCAAGCCGACGAUCCAUAGCUGGGUUGAGAGGAUGAUCAGCCACACUGGGACUGAGACACGGCCCAGACUCCUCCGGGAGGCAGCAGUGGGGAAUCUUAGAACAUGGCGGCAACCAUGAUCUAGCCAUGACGGGUGAGUGCUGAAGGCCUUAGGGUUGUAAAGCUCUUUCAGCUGGGAAGAUAAUGACGGUACCAGAAGAAGAAGCCCCGGCUAACUACGUG
rnacentral:rRNA from 1 species